GGGCGGAUAAUUCAAUGGUAGAAUACUCCGUUCGCAUCGGAGAAGCUGUGGGUUCGAUUCCCACUCCGUCCA
rnacentral:tRNA from 1 species